UACGGAGGGGACUAGCGUUGUUCGGAAUUACUGGGCGUAAAGCGCACGUAGGCGGAUCGGAAAGUUGGGGGUGAAAUCCCGGGGCUCAACCCCGGAACUGCCUUCAAAACUAUCGGUCUGGAGUUCGAGAGAGGUGAGUGGAAUUCCGAGUGUAGAGGUGAAAUUCGUAGAUAUUCGGAGGAACACCAGUGGCGAAGGCGGCUCACUGGCUCGAUACUGACGCUGAGGUGCGAAAGCGUGGGGAGCAAACAGG
rnacentral:rRNA from 1 species